GAUGAACGCUGGCGGCGUGCCUAAUACAUGCAAGUCGAGCGAACAGACGAGGAGCUUGCUCCUCUGACGUUAGCGGCGGACGGGUGAGUAACACGUGGAUAACCUACCUAUAAGACUGGGAUAACUUCGGGAAACCGGAGCUAAUACCGGAUAAUAUAUUGAACCGCAUGGUUCAAUAGUGAAAGACGGUUUUGCUGUCACUUAUAGAUGGAUCCGCGCCGCAUUAGCUAGUUGGUAAGGUAACGGCUUACCAAGGCAACGAUGCGUAGCCGACCUGAGAGGGUGGUCGGCCACACUGGAACUGAGACACGGUCCAGACUCCUACGGGAGGCAGCAGUAGGGAAUCUUCCGCAAUGGGCGAAAGCCUGACGGAGCAACGCCGCGCGAGUGAUGAAGGUCUUCGGAUCGUAAAACUCUGUUAUUAGGGAAGAACAAAUGUGUAAGUAACUAUGCACGUCUUGACGGUACCUAAUCAGAAAGCCACGGCUAACUACGUG
rnacentral:rRNA from 1 species